UUGACGGGGCCGCACAAGCGGUGGAGUAUGUGGUUUAAUUCGAUGCAACGCGAAGAACCUUACCUGGUCUUGACAUCCCGGAGACCCUUAGGAAACUAGGGGGUGCUUCCAUCUGGAAGAAUCUGGAGACAGGUGCUGCAUGGCUGUCGUCAGCUCGUGUCGUGAGAUGUUGGGUUAAGUCCCGCAACGAGCGCAACCCUUGCCUUUAGUUGCCAGCAGUUCGGCUGGGCACUCUAAAGGGACUGCCGGUGUUAAACCGGAGGAAGGUGGGGAUGACGUCAAGUCCUCAUGGCCUUUAUGACCAGGGCUACACACGUACUACAAUGGCCGAUACAAAGGGCAGCGACACUGCGAGGUGAAGCCAAUCCCGUAAAAUCGGUCUCAGUCCGGAUUGGAGUCUGCAACUCGACUCCAUGAAGUUGGAAUCGCUAGUAAUCGUGGAUCAGCAUGCCACGGUGAAUACGUUCCCGGGCCUU
rnacentral:rRNA from 1 species